rnacentral:ncRNA from 2 species
UAGAUUGCGCGCGGAUCAGGUUCCGUUCUGACGAACGGAUGAAAAGGGAACACGGGACAGGGCUUUUUGCCUCAUCCGUGGCUGCCCCCGCAACUGUAGCCGCAGAGCCGUUUCCAUGAUGUCACUGGGUUUGCCCGGGAAGACGGAAACAAGGGCGAUGACGCGGAAGCCAGGAGACCUGCCUGAUCCCGUCACCCAUG